GUGGAGCGGUGAAAUGCGUAGAUAUUGGAAAGACCACCAAUGGCGAAGGCACUCUACUGGGCCAUUACUGACACUGAGAGACGAAAGCUAGGGGAGCAAAUGGGAUUAGAUACCCCAGUAGUCCUAGCUGUAAACGAUGGAUACUAGAUGUCGCAUGUAUCGACCCAUGCGGUAUUAUAGCUAACGCGUUAAGUAUCCCGCCUGGGAA
rnacentral:rRNA from 1 species